rnacentral:lncRNA from 1 species
UUAAUCUUUUUAUUUAAAAUAAAAACAAAAGCAUAAUGGGUAAUGAAGAUUUUCAGUCAGUUGCUAAGAAGAUCCAUUUGGAGAAAGCUAAGUAUCUUUAUGAAAAGACUUGCAUCAAUCUAAAACUAAUAGAAGAACAAAACCCUAACAUCCUUUAUUGCCCUACUAAAAUUGUUCAUCCAAAGUUCAAAGAUUUCAAACCUCUUGAUUUGGAAAGUUACUUAAGAGACUGGAAACUACUUAACAGUAAAAGUUGAAAAAACAAUUGUUUUCAAUGUUAUUUUUGAAAGUUAAAAAAUUUGCGUUGAGAAAGAUUUUGUUUAGCAAACCCUAAA